rnacentral:rRNA from 1 species
GGCGGACGGGUGAGUAACGCGUGGGAAUCUGCCCGGUUGUGGGGGAUAACCCGAGGAAACUCGGACUAAUACCGCAUAAGCCCUGAGGGGGAAAGGUGGGGAUCUCUUCGGAGACCUGCCGCGACUGGAUGAGCCCGCGUCCGAUUAGCUUGUUGGUGAGGUAAAAGCUCACCAAGGCAACGAUCGGUAGCUGGUCUGAGAGGAUGAUCAGCCACACUGGGACUGAGACACGGCCCAG